UACGAAGGGUGCAAGCGUUAAUCGGAAUUACUGGGCGUAAAGCGUGCGUAGACGGCCUUUUAAGUCUGCUGUGAAAGCCCUGGGCUCAACCUGGGAACUGCAGUGGAUACUGAGAGGCUGGAGUGCGGUAGAGGAUGGUGGAAUUCCCGGUGUAGCGGUGAAAUGCGUAGAGAUCGGGAGGAACAUCAGUGGCGAAGGCGGCCAUCUGGACCAGCACUGACGUUGAGGCACGAAAGCGUGGGGAGCAAACAGG
rnacentral:rRNA from 1 species